rnacentral:rRNA from 1 species
GACGAACGCUGGCGGCGUGCUUAACACAUGCAAGUCGAACGGAAAGGCCCUGCUUUUGUGGGGUGCUCGAGUGGCGAACGGGUGAGUAACACGUGAGUAACCUGCCCUUGACUUUGGGAUAACUUCAGGAAACUGGGGCUAAUACCGGAUAGGAGCUCCUGCUGCAUGGUGGGGGUUGGAAAGUUUCGGCGGUUGGGGAUGGACUCGCGGCUUAUCAGCUUGUUGGUGGGGUAGUGGCUUACCAAGGCUUUGACGGGUAGCCGGCCUGAGAGGGUGACCGGCCACAUUGGGACUGAGAUACGGCCCAGACUCCUACGGGAGGCAGCAGUGGGGAAUAUUGCACAAUGGGCGGAAGCCUGAUGCAGCAACGCCGCGUGCGGGAUGACGGCCUUCGGGUUGUAAACCGCUUUCGCCUGUGACGAAGCGUGAGUGACGGUAAUGGGUAAAGAAGCACCGGCUAACUACGUGCCAGCAGCCGCGGUGAUACGUAGGGUGCGAGCGUUGUCCGGAUUUAUUGGGCGUAAAGGGCUCGUAGGUGGUUGAUCGCGUCGGAAGUGUAAUCUUGGGGCUUAACCCUGAGCGUGCUUUCGAUACGGGUUGACUUGAGGAAGGUAGGGGAGAAUGGAAUUCCUGGUGGAGCGGUGGAAUGCGCAGAUAUCAGGAGGAACACCAGUGGCGAAGGCGGUUCUCUGGGCCUUUCCUGACGCUGAGGAGCGAAAGCGUGGGGAGCGAACAGGCUUAGAUACCCUGGUAGUCCACGCUGUAAACGGUGGGUACUAGGUGUGGGGUCCAUUCCACGGGUUCCGUGCCGUAGCUAACGCUUUAAGUACCCCGCCUGGGGAGUACGGCCGCAAGGCUAAAACUCAAAGGAAUUGGCGGGGCCCCGCACAAGCGGCGGAGCAUGCGGAUUAAUUCGAUGCAACGCGUAGAACCUUACCUGGGUUUGACAUGGAUCGGGAGUGCUCAGAGAUGGGUGUGCCUCUUUUGGGGUCGGUUCACAGGUGGUGCAUGGCUGUCGUCAGCUCGUGUCGUGAGAUGUUGGGUUAAGUCCCGCAACGAGCGCAACCCUUGUUCACUGUUGCCAGCACGUUAUGGUGGGGACUCAGUGGAGACCGCCGGGGUCAACUCGGAGGAAGGUGGGGAUGACGUCAAGUCAUCAUGCCCCUUAUGUCCAGGGCUUCACGCAUGCUACAAUGGCUGGUACAGAGAGUGGCGAGCCUGUGAGGGUGAGCGAAUCUCGGAAAGCCGGUCUCAGUUCGGAUUGGGGUCUGCAACUCGACCUCAUGAAGUCGGAGUCGCUAGUAAUCGCAGAUCAGCAACGCUGCGGUGAAUACGUUCCCGGGGCU